rnacentral:rRNA from 1 species
UUAAAUUGAAGAGUUUGAUCAUGGCUCAGAUUGAACGCUGGCGGCAGGCCUAACACAUGCAAGUCGAACGGUAACAGGAAACAGCUUGCUGUUUCGCUGACGAGUGGCGGACGGGUGAGUAAUGUCUGGGAAACUGCCUGAUGGAGGGGGAUAACUACUGGAAACGGUAGCUAAUACCGCAUAACGUCGCAAGACCAAAGAGGGGGACCUUCGGGCCUCUUGCCAUCGGAUGUGCCCAGAUGGGAUUAGCUAGUAGGUGGGGUAACGGCUCACCUAGGCGACGAUCCCUAGCUGGUCUGAGAGGAUGACCAGCCACACUGGAACUGAGACACGGUCCAGACUCCUACGGGAGGCAGCAGUGGGGAAU